AGGGGGAGGAUACGUGAUUGCUGGGGAUCCGGAAGCUUGGGCUCUGGGAUUUGGGGGAGAAUCACGGGCGGAAGGAGAGGGCGGAUGCGGUGGAGACGGUUGAUGAUCCGUGGAGCUCGGACGCGACGUCGGAGGCGGGAUUCCGGCUGGGAUCGGAGGACGUGGAUCCGUGGGGACCGUUGCUCCUUCUCUGACGAGGAAGAGGUGGAUGCAGAGGCGGGAUGAGGUGCGGCUUACUUGAUUUGGGAGGACGCCGUGGAAGAUGGACGGAUGCAGGAUCACUUGGAGGAGGCGGUCACGGCUUGGAUCCGGGCGCUGGGACGUUGGCAGCGAUCACGUUGAUGGCAUGGAGGAUUUGGAAGGCGCCUUGCAGCUGGGCUGGUGCACAGAGAGGUGACGGAAU
rnacentral:lncRNA from 1 species